GGUUCAGUUUGGCUUUCGUUUCCCAGCCCAGCCCCAAACUUUAAUUUCUGCCUAAAUCCCAGGGUUGUAGCCAACAAAGUUCUACUCAGAGUAGACCCAUUGAAAUCAAUGGACCUAAGUUAGGCAUGCCCAUUAAUCUAAAUGCAUCUCCUCUGAGCAGAACUAAUAUUGGAUCCAACCCUUUGUAAACCAUAAGUAAAAAUGCACAGUAUUUUGCAGCUGUACACAAAGUGCUUCCAUAUCUCAGGAAUUAAGCAGCCAUUUCUGCCUGUGUGCCCACAGAUUCAAGACUUAGCAGAGAGAACAAUGGUUUGCCCAUGAAAGUCCUUUGCUAUGUUCGAUCCUUAGGGCAUCAUGCAUGUACAAAGAGAGGGACUUCUCUGUGUUGGCACCCAGACUGUGAAAAUUCCCUCCCGAGGGAGAUAUGGCAGUCAUGAACACUUUAUUAGUUUCGACACCAGCUUAAACUCAUUUUAUUUUCCCAGUCAUUUUAUAUUAUGACAUUUUGCAGCUGGCUGAAUGGUUUUAUUCCUCUUAAUUUGAUGGUAUUCUUGGUGAUGUUUCAUAUGUAAUUUUAAACUUUGUAUACCACCCAGGACCCGUUUUUGGUUAUAGGUGGUUUAUUUUAUAUAUGAAAUGAGUACAUGAAUAAAUAAAUUGAGAUGUGGAGAUGUUGGAUUGCAACUCUCAUUAAUCCUUACCAUUGGUCAAGGUGGUUGGGACUGAUGGGAGCUCAGGUUGUGAUAUCACCACACUGCAGGAUCCCUGUGCUUUCUCUGCUGUGGAUGCCAAAUUGGUUUCCUGCUUUAAAAAAAAGCAGAGAAAAUUUCAAGAAAGCUUCUACCCUCAUCUCCAGCUGUAGUGCAGUUCUUACUGUUUUUACUAUAAUGCUGUGGAAGAAAAUGUGUUUUGAUUUAUGAAAAAAAUAUCCAUGCUAAUAUGUUUCUUUAGCUAAAACAGGUUGUUUCAUUGAGGGAGAAAUGAAUCAACUCUAGAUAUGCAUUCGUAAAACCCAAUCCUACAAUCGGUCUAAGGUAAAGGUAAAGGUACCCCUGCCCAUACGGGCCAGUCUUGCCAGACUCUAGGGUUGUGCGCUCAUCUCACUCUAUAGGCCGGGAGCCAGCGCUGUCCGCAGACACUUCUGGGUCACGUGGCCAGCGUGACAAGCUGCAUCUGGCGAGCCAGCGCAGCACACGGAACGCCGUUUACCUUCCCACUGGUAAGCGGUCCCUAUUUAUCUACUUGCACCCAGAGGUGCUUUCGAACUGCUAGGUUGGCAGGCGCUGGGACCGAACGACAGGAGCGCACCCCGCCGCGGGGAUUCGAACCGCCGACCAUGUGAUCGGCAAGUCCUAGGCGCUGAGGUUUUACCCACAGCGCCACCCGCGCCCCUCACAAUUGGUCUACUUGGAAGUAAAUCUCACUGAUUUCAGUGGGAGUUACUCCCUUGUAAGCGUACUCCAGGAUUUUUGCCUUGGGGGGGGGUAUAAACAGUUUGUGCUUUUAAGGAUUUCUGGUUAUCACCAGUCUUGUGAUAUAGGAGGAUAUAGUCAAGAUUUUCCUUUUCAGAUCAGGGGCUGAGUCAAGGCUCUGCUUUGGACUGCACAACUUGCAAAUGUUAUAGAAAGUGAUAUCUGAAUCAAUUGUGUAAUCUAGUGAGGAAUACCAGAAAAGACAUUGAUUGGAAUACCAUAAUUUCUGGCGAUAGUGCUGUGCUUGCCAGCACAGGAUUGGGCUGAGGCAGUGAGGUUGGACGAGUUUUGGGUUGGUGGCAGGGGUGAGGCUGCAUUUGUGUGUACACCUGUGGGGUGACAUGCCACCAAGCCAGUAGUCUCCCAGGCUUGCCACCACACCACCCUGUCCUGGUAAGUGCAGCACCACUGCGAAGGCACUGCUCUGCCCGACCUCAUUCACCACUGCUAGUAGAGUUGGAUGCUCUCAUGUUGCAUUUCAAUUGGAGCUGAUAGAUACAAAUUAUAAUUUGUUUUCAUCCAAUUAAGUCAGACUCUCAUAAGUUUAUUUUUCUUUUAGCAUUAUAGUUCGAUGUUUCUCAAAAUGGCACAGUUGAUUCCAGAGCAGGGAGGGACCUUGGAAGUUGGGAAGAAGGCACAGGGGUAGGACUUGAUUGGCCUCCCCCCCCCUCCCUUUAUGGAAAUAGAUGUCUUUAUUACAGUACAAUGUAAUGAUGAAGAAAAUAAAGGUGACUGAGGAGAACUCCUCGAAGGUGUUAAUGGAUGUAAACAGGAACCAACCUGUGCAGCCUUUUGGUGGUGCUACUAUUAUUAUAAUUUUUUAUUAUUUAUUUAUUUGGCAGAGAGUAUGUUGUAUGAGCAAGGACAAAACAGACAUAAGAAUUUGAUAUUGUAGUUUCUGGCUAGGUGAGUAGAAUAGUAGUGGGGCUCCCUAUCUGGUUGAAUGGGUUGGUCAGGUUUUCAUCAACUGCAUAGAAGGAUGGCAAGUUCAUUGUGGUCUGACAACUCCUGAAGUGUGUCCUGAUCAACAUUUCAGAUGUGAGCAUCCAAGAGUAGGAUUUUGGUUUGUUUUAUAAUGAACUCUGAUCCCACUUAUGAGUCAAGGCCUCAAUCCAAAUAAAGUUGCUCAUGAUGAGUCUCAUGAAAAUCAGUGGAACAAAGUAUUCCCAACUAAAGUUGUGCUUUUUAAAAACUAAGUUAAGAAAUUAUUAAGCUUAGCUGGAUCGUGACUUAUUUGUUUCACCAACCGAAUUUGGCAUUCCUGUCCUUUCCAUUGUAAUUUUAUUGUUCUUUAUCAUAUUUAUUAGACAGUUCUCUAUUGAAAAACGCUCAAAAGGGCAAAAGUAAAAUGGCUUUAUACAAAAUCAUUUCAGCUUCAGAAUAUGGAUUAAAAAGUAUUUAGUUAUGUAUAAUGUACAAAUGGACUGUAGUUCAUAUUGAUAUCUGUAUCAUUUUGGCAAUAUAGGUGAUCUUGGCAUCUCUGAUUUUCUCCUUUCCAUAUAUGGAGUUUUAAUGGGAAUGACUGCAGAGUUGGGCUCUGCAUUAGGAAAUAUCCUGAAAAAUGAACUCGUCAUUGAGAGAUGGUUCAAGCAGUUGAUUGGACUAAUGUAGAGAGAACUAAGUGCCAAGUGCAUUAAACAUGAAACCCUAUCAGCCUUAAACAUUGUCAACAAAAAUCCAUACACAUAUUACUUUUCUCUCAUUUUUGUCUUACAUUCACAAUGAUGACCUCAGCACAGGGCAUUUCCUGAGUAUUAAUGACCAUUCAGAGUUAAUGGCCCUCGGUUUUGCCUCGAGACAUCAGCUCCUCCUAACUGGUCAUUAAUUCCCAGGAAAUGCCCCAUGCCGAGGUCAUUAUUGCUUAAUUAUCUCCAUACACUUUAAUGCCAGUUUUGACAAUGUACAGUCUUGUGCCAUGAGUUAUGUGUCUUUUACAGUUCGUUUAAUAGCUCAUCAUUAAAACUGCAGAUGAUCUUGAUUAUUAUUUAUUAAUGUUUUCCUUUAUUAUUAUUUUUGUGGUGUGUCCAUACAUGUCUUACGCAAGGGAGUAAGAUGUGCUGCCUGGUUCUAAAAUGUGCCAGAAGCAAUGUCGUGGGCAUGGUUUCUAGAUAGAGACAGAAUUUGGGAGGCAUUAUGGGGAAGAAAGUAAAAUAAAACACCCUUCAAGCAUUUGUCGCUUCAGGCUUGUAGUACAAAUCGGUGUGCUCGAAAUAAAAUUGCCAAGCAAUUCAUUCACAGGAUCCUCAAUGGCCGGUAAAGUUUGUCGAAAGAGAAAUGAGGAUCAGGCAAAAUCUCUACAAAGUUUCCUGGGUGUUUUGUAGUCUUGAGGUAGGAAGUAGUAUUGAGGUGCUGUUGAUCAUUUCAUUCUCAAGUGCCUGUGAGACUAAGCAACUGAGUGAGAAGGAAAGGCGGCCCCAGAGAGUAUUUCAUUCAGAGCAAAAUGACAGACCGAGGACUUCUUUGUACAAGAUCAAUUUUUUGUCAUGCAAGUCACUUCCAUGUAUGCAGUUGCCUGAAUGUUACAUGCAGUUAGAUCACUGGCAACUGCACACAUUGACUACACACAACUGGAAGCUAAUGCACAUCAGUGUAGUGAAGUAAACAUGCAGGAAGUAUCCUAGGAGAAAUGAGCUCUGUGCAUGAAAAGUUGUCUUGUGUGAGAAAGAGAUGUAGAAGCAGAGAAAGGUGUUUCAUGCUAAAGAUCAAAGUGGUAUGUCAAAGCAUCCUGGCCAUAUCACAACAGCAAACUAUGCCAUCAUUGUGAAAUGUGCUGAGUCAAACUCUUACCCCUGCUGAAGUGCUAUUGACUGUAAUUUGGCAUUGGAGAUUGCAAGAAGGAAAACUGUCUCCAAAUCUGGCAAGAAAAUGCAUUGGAAGAGAUGGAGCCAGAGGAAUAUGUUGUGGGAGAGUGUACUGGCUCUGAUGAAUGGAAGGAACCUUUCCAUUCAUGUAGCAGCAGAUCUGGAUCCAACGUGUUGUCUAACUCACCAUCCAUAUGAACAGUAAUGUGUAAUAAUAUAUCUGACUGGGUAGGGGAGAGAUUCUGCAUACCUCUGGAAGGGGCCACAUAGAAUUAUAUCAUGAGCUGUAUUCUAUAACUAGUUUGCAUAUUUUAGAAUUGAUUAAUUAGAUAUUUGAAUUAAAUAAUUACAAUUUGAACAGACAUGGAAUCUCCUUAUAAUUAUCUGUUAGUUGUGAGAAACCAGUAGCAGACCAUCUUGAUAAGUGACUGUAGGUAGAAUGGAGACUUUAUUUCUUUAUUUGAUUUCUGUCCUGUCUUUGCUUGAGCAGCUCAAGUGGUGGCAUACCUGUUUUCUCCCCUCUCCAUUUUAUCCUCACAACAACCCUGUGAGUUAGGUUAGGCUAAGAGACACUGACUGGCCCAAGGUCACCUGAUGAGCUUCAUGAUAUUGGGGAUUUGAACCCUGGUCUCCCAGGUCCAAGUCCAGCAUUCUACGUACUGAAACCGCAGAACUGGCAAGGCAAACUGAGAAAACAAAACAUUGAACUGUUUUGCAUGUGAUGCCAAACUAAACCAUGGCUAAGCGUGAGCAAUAAACCCCUACCCUGGUCCUCCUGUUGAUGCUCCUUGGAGUUAACUUAGCAUUAUGUCCAAACCUGUGCUCGUGGCUUUUCUCAUUCCAGACAAAUCAUGAUCUGUAGCCAAGGUUCAUUUGGCUUUUGGUUUAUCAGGCAUAGGCAAACCAUGAACCCAGGUUCAGACGUAUCACUGGACCAUAGCUGUCAACGUUUUCCCUUUUUAAAGGGAAAUUCCCAUUAUUCCAAAUAGGAUUCCUCGCAAGAAAAGGGAAAAGUUGACAGCUAUGCACUGGACCAAACCAUGGCUCCAGGUAAUGUGGCAUCAUCCUAGAGACUCUUCAGCAUCUGAGUAUUCAGGUAGAGAAAGAAGUGUGUCUCAUCAUUUUCCAUGGUCCAUUAGUGACAAGGCAUAAUUUUUGCCAGGACUUGGUCUAUCUUAAACAUCACUUGCUAGAAAGUUAAGCAUGCCUAGCACUGAAUAUUUCACCAGCGAAUGUGUUUCCAAACUGAAUUAACCUCUUAAUCAUACUUACUGAUCUCAGUUGUUGUGUUUUUCUUAAAGGAGAGCCUGCUUUUAUUUCAAAGAAAGCCAUGGUGCCUCAUUCUCAUUUAUGUGUAAGCCAAUUUGCACCACUCCGGCAGCGUGAAGGGCUCUUGAAGUGGGAGUAAACAUUAUUUGCACCAACUUGGAGAGCUCUUUGUGCAACCUCCAGAAGCGGCAUGGAGGGCUCUCAGCAGAGAAUCAUUGUGGUGAACGCCGUUCAAAAGAAACAAAUAAAAAAAAAGCAUAUGGAAAAUUAGAAAUUAGCACAUUUCUAGAAAGAUUUUAUUUUAUUUUAUUUUAUUUAUCAAUGGUUGACUUGUUAGUAAUCUGGGAUAGGGGCUGGGAAGAAAUUCUACAAUAACACCUAAACGAAAAGUUGAGAUAAUUGUUUUUCAAGCCAAAAACCAAUGAUUCCUUUUUUCUUGUUUAAAGCGAGAGCUAAGAUCCAGGACCAAGUUAAAGGAACCAAAGGUUACUGUACCGUGAAUGAGUGCAGUGUGCAGAAGCUGGUAUUGUAGAGAGAACUGAGGUUAGGAUUUCGGCAGAAGCCCUGAAGAAUCGGGGACUUGCUGGCCCUCCCCUCCCUUUCUACCUUCAGUCAGUAGUGGCAUUGUAGCCUGCCAUGAAUCGGUUCUUAGAUUGGUGUCUCCUUGCAAUAAAUCCUGACCAUAGGACUGUGCUCAGGGUGGGCAGCGAGGCUCGGACAAGAAGGGGGCAGCCUCUGUGUUGUGGUGUCGUUAGCGACAUGUAGCAGAAGUUCUCGCUGAACGGAAAAGCUCUGGCUCCAGAGUGUCGCCAGUGAAAGUAGAAACAUAAGUCGCACACGGGGGUGAGAAGGAGAGAUCAUUGCCUCAACUAUAGGGAUUCACUCUGGAGGUGGAGGCAGGAUGAUUUGGGACACUGGGUGUUUGUUUGGAGAUUUAAAGGAAAGGGAGAGCAGGGGUCAGGAAAACCUCUUUCGGAGCCUAGCAAACGAUUAAAGCCUUGUGAUUUAAAGAAACAGCAACCCACGCUAUGUGUAGAUUUUCUUUUCAACCUGAAGACAAGAUUUCUACACCCCCCCCCCACCUCCAUUCUAUUCUGCUAUCUGUAUUCAUUUUUUAUGAUGGCCCCUUUAAGAGGCAAAAGCAUGUCACUAGGUGUAAGGAACUUUUAACACUUUUUCAUCUUUUCAGCAUUUGUAUAAUUACUGUUAAGCCACAUUGGAAAGCCUGGGGCCUAGUGAUCACUAAGGUAGUGUUAGGUUUCAUAAGCAAGGAGAAGGAGGGGGUGGGGGGAACCACUCUUGAACUUACUGCUCAGAUAAAUUGGCUGCAAAACCUGUGCCAUAUGCUGUAAGACCAACCAAAUAAUUAUGCAUAAUAAUAAUAGGCAAUAAAAGCAAAGCCAAUCAGAUUCUUAUCAUCUGGUGGCAACUUCUGACUUAAAUCUGUUUUGUUCCACAGCAUUAAUACCCAGUAAAUCAUGUUGGUAUGUUGCUUUUCACUUGAAUGUAAAAGUGUGUAUACAUAAAUGGUUUGUAGGGGAAACAGACUCUGCAUUCGGUGGUGACUGCAACCACACCCCUCCUAUAAAAUGUAAGAGUGGGAGACACAAAACUCCAGGGAUGAGAAAUAUAUUCAUCUAAUGCAAGGCUGUUUUUGGAUACCUUUUUCUUUUUGUUCGUUUGUUUUGUUUGCAUCUUCUGUGAAACCAAAAUGACACAGUUGGGCAUAGUCAAAGAAGCAUAAAAAUAAGGAGAAAUAAACAGGAGUGAAGAAUAGCCCCAAAUAAAAACAAAAUAUAUAUUUGAAAGCUGCUCAUUAGAAGAGGGUCUCAUCCAAAUGAUCAAAGUCCUGUGAAAGCAGCACAAGAAAUUACCAAAAGAGAGCCAAGGUUUGGUUUGUUGAUCUGAAAUUGGGGCGAGUCAGAUUUGGAUUUAACGGCCAGUCUCUCUGUGACAGUGCAUUGUGCCUCAGUUUUCUGACCUGUGAAAUGGGAUUAUUACAGCAUAUGCACAUCAGGAUUUGAGAUGAUAACACAUUUAAGAUUAGGUACCCUUUACUAGGAAGACAGGAGUGCCUGGCAUGCUCUGGUCCAUGGGGUCACGAAGAGUCGGACAUGACUAAACGACUAAACAACAACAACCGUUUACUAGCGAAAAGAAGAAAAAAGUUUGUUGCUCCAGCAAGUAGGAACUUAGGCUCGGUGGGCUGUUGAUCUGGGGACCUAGAACAGACAGUACCCUGUCAUUAGAUGGACUGGUAUCCAGCAUGGUGUGAGUGGAUUUUGCCUUCCUCUUCUGUUCCCUGCAGAUCCCCAGAGAUCCCUCUGCCAAAUCUGCUCGAGAGGCUCCCCUGGUGAGCAUGUGGUGAGGGGGGAGGGCUUCAGGGGGAAGAGAGGAAGGGAAGUCUUGUUCCACUAGCAGAUAGGAAAAAAACGGAUCUCAUGUUUUAAUUUAUGUGAGAAAACUCAAGCAACAUAUCUUUUGAAGCAACCCCCCCCCCCUUGAGGCAGCAUCUGUACCCAUUACUCUCUGAACUGUGAGCACAAUCAAACAUUAAAAUGCAGCAUCUUGCAAUACAAUGAAAAAUCUCCCACCAUAUUUGAAGAAAUCCUGGAGUGUUUGGGCAGGGCAUAAAGGCCUCACAUCCUGCCAUAUAGGUUGGUGGUGGAGCAGGGCUGAGCUGCAAUCUCGCAGAGGCUUUGAGGUCUGGAAGUGGCAGGCAGACAGCUCAGGAGAUAGAUGGCAAUUAGGAUUUAGAAGCAACCUGGGAGAUAAGGAGCCACUGAGGAUUUAUUGUAUAUGUAUGGACAGAAAGAAAAAGUCAGUGCAUGGGGAGGAGACAAGGGAGGUGGAAUACAGUAAAUCUCCAGUGACUCCCAUUUGCUGGCUGUUCCUGCAUCCUAAUAGCUGUCUCUGUGCAGGCCACAGAGGUCUAUUGCUUUUUUUUGCUUUGACUCCAGGAUGCCUUUUCCAUUUUCUGCCCAGCCCUCCUUGCAUCCUCUGGCCUAUUUUCCUUCAUUAGCUUCUUUUUUCCUCAUGUCCAGAGCUGCCAUUUACUUCCUCAGCUGUUCCUUGCUGAUAUGCACUUCUCCACGCAUAGAUCGGGAGCUGAGUUCCUCCUCAUCACCCCUCAUUCAAACACUGGAGUACAAAAUAAGUAUAUGCAUAAAGUCCCAGUUAAGGAUGGGGUAAUUGUGUUAAAAUUUAAAAAUAAUAAUAAUACAUGGACGUUGCGACCAAGACACAGUUGGGGCCUUUCUUAUACUAUAUAUGUGCCUUUCAUAAUGUGUUAGUAGUAUGUAUUGAACAUGACCAUCUGUAUCUGAAUACAAAACCUUAGAAUGAUGAUGACACAGGAAAUACAGUGGUACCUCGGGUUACAUACGCUUCAGGUUACAUACGCUUCAGGUUACAGACUCCACUAACCCAGAAAUAUUACCUCUGGUUAAGAACUUUGCUUCAGGAUGAGAACAGGAAUCGUGCAGCGGUGGCGCAACGGCAGCGGGAGGCCCCAUUAGCUAAAGUGGUGCUUCAGGUUAAGAACAGUUUGAGGUUAAGAACAGACCUCCAGAACGAAUUAAGUUCUUAACCCGAGGUACCACUGUAUACAGAACAGGGUGGGCAGAAUCAGCCUUGUUCCCAUGAAGGGGAAUCCUAAGAGCUGAUUUUCAGUGGAUGGUGGUAUGGAAGGAAAGAGUUAAAUCUCUUCUGCAUGCACAGAGCUGCUGAGCCUGAGAACCCAGCACUACUAUUUAAAGUCUU
rnacentral:lncRNA from 1 species